rnacentral:rRNA from 1 species
AGCAUAUCAAUAAGCGGAGGAAAAGAAACUAACAAGGAUUCCCCUAGUAACGGCGAGUGAAGAGGGAAAAGCUCAAAUUUAAAAUCUGGCGGUCUACGGCCGUCCGAGUUGUAAUCUAGAGAAGUGUUUUCCGCGCUGGACCGUGUACAAGUCCUUUGGAACAAGGCGUCAUAGAGGGUGAGAAUCCCGUCUACGACACGGACUGCCAAGCGCUUUGUGAUACACUCUCAACGAGUCGAGUUGUUUGGGAAUGCAGCUCAAAAUGGGUGGUAAAUUCCAUCUAAAGCUAAAUAUUGGCGAAAGACCGAUAGCGAACAAGUACCGUGAGGGAAAGAUGAAAAGCACUUUGGAAAGAGAGUUAAACAGUACGUGAAAUUGUUGAAAGGGAAACGCUUGAAGUCAGUCGCGUCUUCAGAAAUUCAGCUAGGCUUCUGCCUAGUGUACUUUUCUGUGGGACGGGCCAGCAUCAGUUUUGGCUGCCAGAAAAAGGUCGGAGGAAGGUGGCACCUCCGGGUGUGUUAUAGCCUCUGAUCGUAUGUGGCAGCCGGGAUUGAGGACCGCAGCACGCCUUUAUGGCCGGGGUUCGCCCACGUAACGUGCUUAGGAUGCUGGCGUAAUGGCUUUAAACGACCCGUCUUGAAACACGGACCAAGGAGUCUAACAUGCCUGCGAGUAUUUGGGUGGCAAACCCAUAUGCGGAAUGAAAGUGAACAGUUGGGACUUCUGUCAUGGAAGGCACCGACGCCCGGACCAGACCUAUUGUGACGGAUCCGAGGUAGAGCAUGUAUGUUGGGACCCGAAAGAUGGUGAACUAUGCCUGAGUAGGGUGAAGCCAGAGGAAACUCUGGUGGAGGCUCGUAGCGAUUCUGACGUGCAAAUCGAUCGUCGAACUUGGGUAUAGGGGCGAAAGACUAAUCGAAC